rnacentral:rRNA from 1 species
UUAACACAUGCAAGUCGAACGGUGAAGCCAAGCUUGCUUGGUGGAUCAGUGGCGAACGGGUGAGUAACACGUGAGCAACCUGCCCUGGACUCUGGGAUAAGCGCUGGAAACGGCGUCUAAUACUGGAUAUGAGCUCUUACCGCAUGGUGGGGGUUGGAAAGAUUUUUUGGUCUGGGAUGGGCUCGCGGCCUAUCAGCUUGUUGGUGAGGUAAUGGCUCACCAAGGCGUCGACGGGUAGCCGGCCUGAGAGGGUGACCGGCCACACUGGGACUGAGACACGGCCCAGACUCCUACGGGAGGCAGCAGUGGGGAAUAUUGCACAAUGGGCGCAAGCCUGAUGCAGCAACGCCGCGUGAGGGAUGACGGCCUUCGGGUUGUAAACCUCUUUUAGCAGGGAAGAAGCGAAAGUGACGGUACCUGCAGAAAAAGCGCCGGCUAACUACGUGCCAGCAGCCGCGGUAAUACGUAGGGCGCAAGCGUUAUCCGGAAUUAUUGGGCGUAAAGAGCUCGUAGGCGGUUUGUCGCGUCUGCUGUGAAAUCCCGAGGCUCAACCUCGGGCCUGCAGUGGGUACGGGCAGACUAGAGUGCGGUAGGGGAGAUUGGAAUUCCUGGUGUAGCGGUGGAAUGCGCAGAUAUCAGGAGGAACACCGAUGGCGAAGGCAGAUCUCUGGGCCGUAACUGACGCUGAGGAGCGAAAGGGUGGGGAGCAAACAGGCUUAGAUACCCUGGUAGUCCACCCCGUAAACGUUGGGAACUAGUUG